GCCCUUGUGGUGCAGUGGUAGCACGCUUCGCUCUUGUGAAUCGGGCAACUUGUGUAUAGUCCAUGCGGCAAGUUGUCAGGUUCAGUGUCGAAGAGGUCGGGGGUUCAAUUCCUCCUGGGGGCA